UUCUUACCACUUUGAUCAAUAUUACUUGUUUUAGAUUUGUCUAAAUACGGAUGUAUCUAGAUAUGUUUUAGUGUUAGAUACAUUUGUAUUUAGAGAAAACUAAGACAAAUAAUAUGUAUCGGAGAGAGUAAUUG
rnacentral:pre_miRNA from 1 species